UGGUUAGGGAUUUUAGGCUUUCAUCCGUUGAAAAAGAAAAGAAUUCAAAAUAAGAUCCCAUUGGUAAUGGGCCGGACUCCCACGUAACCUAGCUCGUUAAAGAGGCUAAAAAAAUGUUAGCUCGCUCAGGAUACAAUGAUCGGCUGGGCUGGUAAAAAUGGACCGCAUGGCUGUAGCGCUGCUGGGCUCCGCCAGCGAGUAGCGGGGAAGGCGUAUAGACGCUUAUCAACCGGUUGGGCCCAUGAAGAAUUGAAGAGUCUCAACUGCUCAUCCAUCCAUGUCUUCAGUUCUCAAAAAAAUUAAAAUCCAUCCACGUCUUCAGAAAAAAAGAAAAACUCCAGAUGGGAAAGAAUACGGCGAGACCGGCCCGCCAAACCGCGUUCACUCUCACCGCCUACUACUACGUGCCAGCAGGUGGGGAGAACCAAGUGGGGAGCGAAGCGUACGACUUGGAC
rnacentral:lncRNA from 1 species